UUUCCGUAGGUGAACCUGCGGAAGGAUCAUUGUCGAAACCUGCAUAGCAGAACGACCUGUGGACAUGUUGACUGAUGGGUGUGGGGUUCGGGAGAAUUUAUCCUGAACUCCCCCGAUGUCGGCCCGUGCACGGAUUCUCCACCCCCACUCAAUGCUUAGGCAUGACGGGGAUUGCGGUGAAUUUUUGUACGCGGUUGGCGAUAACCAUAGACCCGGCGCGGACUGCGUCAAGGAAGGUAAAAUACGGAGCGUGCUCCCAGGGUCAUCGUAUCGAUGUUCUCUCGGGAUGCACCUAUGUAAUAACUGAUUAUAACGACUCUCGGCAACGGAUAUCUCGGCUCUCGCAUCGAUGAAGAACGCAGCGAAAUGCGAUACCUGGUGUGAAUUGCAGAAUCCCGUGAAUCAUCGAGUCUUUGAACGCAAGUUGCGCCCGAGACCAUUUGGUCGAGGGCACGCCUGCCUGGGCGUCACGCGUUGCGUCGCCUCUCAACCCCUUACCCACGGUAUCGGGUUAGAUAUCGGGGCGGAUGUUGGCUUCCCGUGCAUCACUUGCUCGGUUGGCUGAAAAAAACAGUCUCCGUGGCACGGUACUUGACGGUUGGUGGAUGACACAAAGUUUUGUCCCAUCGUCUUUCUAGCGCUACGGAUGGUACUGUGAUGACCCUAGAAUGUUGUCCAUCUCGGUGGGCAUCGAUUCCAUAUGCGACCC
rnacentral:misc_RNA from 1 species